UCGUCCCCAGUAUGCGGAGAACUGGAAUCUCUACCUAAAGUCGUUCGUGAAAGGAUCAUAGUAGCUCCGAUCCCCAAAAAUAUGAGUCCGAAAUACCACCGGGGUCGUAGAAGUGCACUAGCUCGCAAAUUAAUGCAGAAAUUCGGUAGAAAUCCGGAUACAGUCUACACAGAUGUCACUCGAUGCGGUACUUACAAGUACGCCCUCGCAGUAGUAGGAGCGGCUGCAGAUCAAGGGCUUGUGACUUAGGCCACGGCUGGAGUCGCAUCUGCGA
rnacentral:lncRNA from 1 species